rnacentral:rRNA from 1 species
CCUACGGGGGGCUGCAGUGAGGAAUAUUGGUCAAUGGGCGCAAGCCUGAACCAGCCAUGCCGCGUGCAGGAUUAAGGCCCUAUGGGUUGUAAACUGCUUUUAUACGGGAAGAACCCUCCGACGUGUCGGAGACUGACGGUACCGUAUGAAUAAGCAUCGGCUAACUCCGUGCCAGCAGCCGCGGUAAUACGGAGGAUGCAAGCGUUAUCCGGAUUUAUUAGGUAUAAAGGGUGCGUAGGCGGACCUGUUAGUCAGUGGUGAAAUACUGCGGCUUAACCGUAGAACUGCCAUUGAUACUGCAGGUCUUGAGUACAGUUGAGGUAGGCGGAAUGUGUGGUGUAGCGGUGAAAUGCUUAGAUAUCACACAGAACACCGAUUGCGAAGGCAGCUUACUAAGUUGUAACUGACGCUGAUGCACGAAAGCAUGGGGAGCAAACAGGCUUAGAUACCCCAGUAGUC